rnacentral:lncRNA from 1 species
CGGGAUGAUUCACGCUUUUCAAGACUGGCCACGGGGAUCAAGGACAGCAGCACAUCAGACCAUGAAUUUGUUGACCGAUGCAGUGGGCCUGCAAGGACCAGUGGGAAGGUCUGGUGAGAAUGGGACGAGCCGGAAUGAGACCACACUACUUCCAAGACCACUGAAAAUAAGAUGUUUUGCCAGUGAGGGGUCAGAGCUGAAGUUGUGGAUGCGGCGGUCAGCCUACAAGCGAAAACUGAAGGCAGAAGAGCAGGCGGGGUUGCACAGGUGGGGGAAGCGAGAAGAGAGAUGCGGGCAGGUGCAGCACACAGGGGUGGGGGAGCACCGCACUUUGGGGCUGGAGCAGCAGGGGCGGGGGGACCUGAAGGAAGCAGAAGGAUCUAUGACAGAGGAUGGGAAGGAGGCAGGUUAGGGUGUUGGGGGACGACAGCCAUGCAGCCACCUCAUAUUCUGUGUGCCUCGAGCAGCCAGAGCAUGGAGAAGGCACAGACUGAGACACGAAUUAGUUCCUUUGCCCCACCUGCUCCCUGAGAGACUUGACUCACCCAGUUCUCAUCAAUUGAGAAAUAGAGAUCUGGUCUUGGAUCGCACAUUCUUUUGAGUACUUAAUAUACAUUAGGACAUGCAGGGGAAGAUAUGUUCAUAUGUUCAAAUGUUUCAGAUUCCAUCUACGUCUCAGAGCCCUGGACUCUUGCUCUUCGCAAGGGCCUAUUCAUCUCCCAUCCUCUUAAGCUCAGUCAGUACUUCCUUCAAAUGGUGUAAGACGCAUUUCCAAAAUGACUAACAGUGUCUGAAGAAAUCAUCUACAGGAUCAGGUAAUAUUUUUUUCAGGGACCUUCCUUGAUGACAGGAAUCAACAGAGGGGAGAUGAUUGGCAGAGGGAGGGCUUGCAACCAGUGUCAAUGACAUGGAGAGGCUUGGGACAACAAAGACUAAGGAUUUGCAAAUUUGGGGUGUAGUUUUGAUAGAAUGGUAAGAACAAGAACUAUAUUGUAGAAGGAUGUGAAAAGCCUAUUGGUGGUGGAGGCAAUGAGCAUGGAAAGCACAUGUGCAGUGUCUAGCUUUGAAUGGGGGUAACGGGAAGGUAGCUGGAGUGCAGUAGGGUCAAAAUCAUGUUUGUUUUUUAAAAGGGGGAAGCUGCCGUAGCAAUAUUUUUCUAGAUAUGUCUCCUGGGGCAAGGGAAACAGAAGUAAAAAUAAACUAUUGGGACUAUAUUAAAAUAAAAAGGUU